CAAAACACAGCCCAGGCUUCAAACAGCCUUCCCUUGAAGGCUCCUAUGGCUGAGGGGAAAGGACAAGGACCCUGCCCCUCACCCACGGUCAGGAUGUUAACGCUGUUCCCAGCUGAUUCAGGCAGGACCCCUGCCUGUGUAUCCUAAUUCUGUGUAUCCUUAGAGCUAUCUGAAUAGUUUCCCAAAAUAGCUGUUUCUUGAGGCAACCUGGUGCAGCAAGGUACCCUGCACCCUGCCGUGGUCCUGCAGCCAUAGCUGGUGCAGCCCACUGAAAGCCAAUAUAUUUUACUCAGUAGAGGGUUUGUUUUUUCUGUUUUGUUUUGUUUUGUUUUCAAGAAGCAGGGCAGAAAGUUCUUGGUUUUUAAGCAGUGACCUGGGACAGAGAGGGAAAGGACGUGUUUCUGUACCCAGGUGUGCUGCCAUUCCAGCUCUGUCUUUUCACAAAUCUUGGUGUCACACCAGGUGACCCCGAAGUUCUGUUUUUCAAAGGGAGAGCAGAUCAAAGAAGCCUGUAUUUUCACAAGUUUUUUUGUUGGCAGAAGGAAGGAAAUGUCAGCUGUAUGGACAGCACAGCUCAUGAUACUGCAAAGGAUUUGUCAGCACUGGGGCCACAGAUGCUGCAGACUGAUUCAAACUGCAUUUUAAUGACCUGCUAGGGUUCUCUGGCAGUACCAGCAGAUGGACAGACUGCUCAGCACAGCCUGCAAAGUGCACCCAAGGUGCUGGAUAAAGGCUGGGAGGUUGACGUGGCUGGAGGCUGCAAUGGUCCGGGCUGUGUCCUCCCACCAGAAGGUUCCUCUCUUCCCAUAACCUUCCAGAGGCUGGGUGACUGGACAGUCAGGUGGACCAGCCAGCUGAUCCCAUGGAAAAGAAGAAAAACUUCCUGCCAGACCCGCUUGCUCAUUCAGCUGUGCAGCAGCUGCACAGUUGCUAAAUCAGAUGCAAGGACAGUGAGGGACGUGCAGGGAGCAGGGAUGGGGAGGGAGCUCUUCCCAAUAAGGCAGCUGCUGCUGGUACGUCACGCUGCAGCGUAACGUGCAAACCAUAUCCUUAGUCCUUCUGAGCAAAAUUCCCUGAAUCUGUGCUGGUAGCAAUACGCAAGUUCAACCAUUGGAAAGCUCACGUGGGAAUGCUGAUGCUGUCCCAAAGCAUAUCCUGUGCAGUGUCACUCACUGCAUGUGGCGAGGGAAUUGGGAAGGAUGUGACAAAACAGCUGUCAUCCAGCUGGGGAUGUUGCUCAAGGUCCUUUGAUACGCAUGUUGACAUCAUGCUGAGAUUCUAAAAAAAAAAAAAAAAUAAAAAAGAAGAAGAAGAAAAUUAAAUGUGGCUGGUUUUGGUAAACUGCUACUAAAAUAAUUCUGUGUAUCCUUUUGUGGUUAUAUGCAAGUGGCUUAUUCCAGGAAUAAGCAAUUGGCCACAUUAGCUCCCACAAGUGCAAACUACGUUUUGUUGCCAGUAAGGCAGCAAAGCAGCUUCAUUGUUUCUUUCCUUGUGGCGUGCAAAUGUUGAUGCUUCUGCCAGCACCCUUGAUCCGAGGGGGGAUUCCUAUCUGCUGGUGAUCUGCUGUCAGCUGCCCCCAUGCUUCCUGAGUGCCAAUUCAUCCGCGCUCCUCUGUUCUUUGUGGUGCUAAAGCCCCGUGCAAACCCUGCAGCUGGCAUUGUUCUUUGUCUGUAUAAAAGAACUUUGCUCCCCUUUUAUUUCUUAGUGGUGGUGUUUGUAGUUUUAUGUUUUUUCUGGUAGCACCGACACCAUCAUCCUCCCGCUACCAGGACGAGCACCUGCCUGCGCCCAGCCCGCCCUGCAGGGCAGCAGCAGGGCGAUGCUCCGCCAACCCGUGCUUACUCAGAGGAGCUGCUGCUGUCUUUGGAUGCUAUUUCCUGACUCGCCUCCUUGUUAAUGACUGCCAACGUCAUUAGUCACUUACUAUUUCCUAGUGGAAAAUAUGCUGGUCUGUAUAUUGUAACCCUUCCCCUCCGAGUCCGCAUUGAUCCUACUCGUUCACAGUACUGACAGGAAUGAGCCCCCCCACCCGGGGAUGAAACCCCAGUGUAGCAGUGGUUCACAGGGCUGAAGCAGUGUUUGUAGGGUUUGUUCCCCUCACUGGUGCCCAGCCAGCCCCACAAUGUCCUUCCUGGCUUCACCUGCCUCGUGUCCACCCCGACACAAAGGCCCUGCUGGUGUGGGCAAGCCACAGCCCACGCCAGGGACUCUCCUCUCUCAUCUCGCCAAUCCCCAUGCUCCUGUCAUGGGGCUGGAAUCAUGUUUUGGUCCAGAAAGCCCCCAGGGACUGCUGAAAUGGUGUUUCAGAGAGUCACCCCUCUCUGAGGUGUCUAGGUGCUACUUUUGGGAGCCUGUUGUUACAGUCCAGUCACAGGCACGCUCCCUGCUUUGCUGCGCCAGCCACGCAGCACUACCUGAGAUCUGCUGGGUGCUCUGGGGUGGUCUGAUUGCUCUGCCCAAAGCUGCAGAUCUCUGAUAUUUCCUAAAAUAUCAUUCUGUCUCUUAACCAAGUCCUUAUCUCCCUUGUGGGAAGAAGGGCCCUGUCGCGGAGGCACCCAUGACUGAACGCGAAGCAGGGCCAGGCCGAUGUGAGGCCGCAGGGGGCUGACAGAAACUGCUGACAGAGAACCACUGCGAGUGCUACGGUGCCCAGUGGAGCUGGUUGAGAAAUGAGUUUCCUUGCAUUACAGCUGUGAAGAGGCAAGGCAGUUAAGGGUCACUUUCAGUAGGUUCCCCUGUAACUAGCAGCCUUGGGAAAAACAUACGGGGAGAUUUGCUAAAGCUCCUGUGUGUGGUACAGGUGCCUUCUCUGGGAGCUGAAGCACAUCUGCAUGCCAAGAGACAAAUGACCCCUCAGCAUGCAGGCUGCUUAUUCCAGAGUACAGCACUUUUUUAUUAUUAUUUAUUUUUAUUAUUAUUAUUAUUAUGUCGGUGUAAUUUGUUGGUUUUGUAAGGAAACAUCCAAAAAGAGAAAUAGUUUACAAGUGUCUGUGCUCCAGAACACCACACUUCAUAAGAACUGUGCACUCUCAUCUCCUCAGAGCCAAACAGCUUCAAGACAUUAUUAAGCAAAUGUGACAUUUUAGACAGGGAUACUUUUUCAGAGAAGAAAUACUUGGAUGCAGGGAGAGGGGAUGCCAAAAAGAGAAAAGAGGUUGGCUAGAAAGGAGGGCUGGUGCUCUUCAAGCCAUUUCAGACUCUCUGCACACGUAGCUUAAGUGCUGAUCUCUGGAAAGAUGAUCUAUUUGUCUUCUAGGUGUUAAAUAUCCCAAUUCUGCUGCCCUGUUCCAUGGCCCUGUGUGAAGACCCACACCUGGUGACCCCUGCUAGCUCCAGGAAGAUCCCUGGGGCAGAGGGAGACUCAGUUCAGCUGGGAGCUGUCCUAGGCUAAGUAUCAUUCUUCACUGCUUUCCAAACCUGCCUGCUGGCAAUCGUGCUGCUCCAGAGCUCCCUUAGCUCAAUCCCUUAUCUUGGUUCACUGCACCAGCAGACCCCGCAGGCAGCUCUGAGGCACAGAGCACAUUUAACACAGCAAGACCUGCAGAGGCCUUCUUAACCUUUGGGAAAUUGCUCUGAAAAAGCUCUGCCACAUGGAUUCUUCCAGUUAUUGGAAAGGUUUCACUUCCAUGGUUGUCACAAAUAGCUGCCAAGGAUUCCAGCUUCUCAGCUUUAAUAAAGCAUACACACUGCUGUGGGGCUCUAGCUGCUAUAGCUUCUACCAGGAUCAGGAGUCUGGGCCCAACAAAUAGUUAGCAAAUGUUAAUUGUAGGAAAAUUGAAAGGGUGACAGUAUACAUUGCUGCUUUGGUGCUAGCAAAAGGCACGUCCACUAUUCCUUCCUCACUGACUUAUGGACAGAGCCAUAUGAAUGCAGAUCUGGGUCCUGGCCCAGUGAGUUCUCCAGAGUGAUAGAUUUGGCCCUUAUCUGUAAGUGGCUGUCCAGGGACAGAAUCUAUCUGUGAGAAUUUGAAAUUAAAACGAAUUUGGUCUCUGUGUAAAGAUAAACCAAUUUAUUCGUACAGCUGGCUCUGAAGAGUGCCUUGUUUUUUCCUGUAUAAAAAUUAAGCCAAGAGGCUUUAUCGGGAAAAUUCUGUGCAUAUUCAAUAGCUCCUGAUGUGCUUAUACAGGCACCAUUAGCCUGUUGAAACAAGUGUUAUCCCUCUAGCAGUACGAAGAUGCAGCCAGUUGGAUCGUGUAACUACGUAACUCCACCCUUCCAACCAAACAGCUCUUCCACCACCUAAUCCUAAGGUCACAACUGUUUUUUUCCUCAGCUCUCAACCAUGACCCAUUUAUGCUGCAGAUUUUACUUGGCACUUCCACCUGGAAGAGCCAAGCUGCACUGCUGCAGCAUGAGCUGUGCUCUCCCUGUGGGAAUGGAAGGAUCCUGCUCCCAACCCCUUGUAUUCCUGCUGGGAAUACAAGGUGCAAAAGCAAUCCUUCAGGCCGCUGAUGGCACUGAGUGCAGCUGGAGGAGCCCUGGCCUUCCUGGCUGUCAUUUCUCUCCAUGCUCAGACUCCUGGUCCCAGCCUCGGAGUGGGUAUCAGGCAGUGUAAACAGCAGGAAUCAGACGCAGCCAAAUCGGGAGACAGCUCAGCUCUGCAAACAGACGCAUGAAGCCUGGGUGGACGCCAGGGCGGGCAGCCACACACGACAGAUAAUCUCCGUGACGCAACGCGAAGCCCGCUGGAAGCAGGAGGACCUCGGAGCUCCAUGAGUCUGCAGUUGCCACAGCCCUGUCCUGCUGCAGGACUGCUCUGACACCUCCCGAGCUCAGCCCCAGCAGCAGCCCUCGUCUCUGGCAGGUCCAGGCAGAAGGGUUAAUGCUGUCAGCCUUUACAGAACGGCUGAGCCAGGAGGGUGCUAGCCCAGUGCCUCACUGCCCCUCUGUAAUGCUCGUGUCCUUUCACGUCGCUGUUAUUUCAAUUUCCCUUUGACAUCUGUGAAGGCGAAGGAGCACACCAGCUAAGUAAACAGCCCGCUCUGCUCCUAAGUGCCUUUUCCAUAUUGGCCAGCCGACUUUCCAAGCCCUAUAAAUUUUAGAUUAGUACCAUGUCCUCUGAAAACCCAAAGUCAGGCUCCGAGCCAGGAGGCCACAGAGCUGCUCUCUGUCUAAAUCUGUAAUGCAGAAACACAACUUAUUCCAUUAGAUCUGAAGUGGGAAAAUUGGCUGGGAAACACAAGUACUAAUUUCUGUCAAUUAGAUUAUCUUGAAUGGGAUAUUUAAUAUUUUAAUGGAACAUCAUGUAAUUGCUGCUCAUGGGUACUUUGUAGCUGUUGGAAAUUCUGAUCUCAGUGCUUACUCUAAUGAAAGGUUGCCAACAGACACAAAGGACUCGUGUUUGAAACUCCUGCGUAGGAGAACUGUUGGGACUAUUUUGCCUGCGUCUCUUUGCUGGCCAGCUGUCAUUUCACAGCUACAGCACUGAGGAUAAAGUCAAUUAGUGCAUCUACAGAAGUGUAUGAGGCUAACCUCUGUGGGGUGUUCCUGAGGAUGUUCACCACAAAUCCUGCUGCAGAGACUCUGUAAAAAAUCAGAGUGCUUAAAGACAGGUGAGCUGAUGGGACCAUAUAGCUAGCACAGUAACCCUCAGAAAAGACCUCCUACACAGUUGUGUCAGGGCACUGAUGGCCUUAAUUGUCCUGAUCAGGCCCACCUGGGUCCCCCACACCUACUGCCAUGGGGUGAGGGCUUAAUUUAAGCUCAGCCUUGAUUACCCUACCCCUCCCUGUGUUGUAGGUGCAGCCUUGUGUCUGUCCCUCUCUCCUAGAUGGAUCUUGGAUCUGUAUUGCAGCUAUGGUUCCUGGAAUGAUGUUGCCCAGAGGCAUCCCUUCUCUUUAUUUUAUUCUGCCUGGGAGGCUGUCAACAUGGCCAGGGGCUGGAGAAACUUGACAACAUGAUGAGAGCUUUAUUUAAAGAUAUAUAUAUUUAAAAAAAAAAAAUAGAACCAUGCCCUGGCCUUACCUUUGCCUGCAGGAUCCCAGCUCUGCUGAACCUCCCUCUGCCAUUCCCAGAGCCACCUUUCACACCAGCAUCGGUGGGAAAUCAGCAGCUCAUUUGUUGCUGUUGGAUACUCAUAGCAGGGCAGCAGUUUUAACCAUAGCUGCAAGGGUGCCCCCAGUAUGGAAGCAGCACCUCUUAAAGCAGUUGGUGUGUUCGUGCUUCUCCACGAAGUGUUCAUAGCAAUCUUCCAGAGGUGGUAGGGCUCCCGACAUGCCUGUACCGAACUUUUUAUGAUGAAGCUUACCCUGGGAGCUGGGAAAAUAGGGCUCUUUCUGCAAACUGAUAAAGCAGUAAAUAGAUGUGUCCACAGAUGUGUUGAGCAUUUUACUGAAAUUAAUAAUUCUUUGUAGUUGUUGAUGCAUCAAACUGUUGUGCUGCAAGGCGUACCCUUGAAAUCAGGGCUCUCAGGCUGCAUGAAAACCUUCCUGGGGCCUCGGCACAACUUGGCUUUUGAUACCCUGAUGGCAUGCUCAGUGCAAGCUAAGGAGCUGCCUGCACAGACUUCAAGUUCCACGUAAACAACUCAGAUAUUAAGAAUAUACAAGAAUAGCCCUCAGGCAGUGAUGCCUUGCC